AAAAAUUAGAUGUAAAAACGGCCAUUUGGUAAUGCUGUAAAUGUACCCUCCCACCAGGCUUGCACAUUAAGCUCAGUUUCAUAUUGUGCUGCUUAUAAUUGUCCACAGUGGAAAAACGAGGAGUGUAGGGAUGCUGUUGUCUCAGCACGGCACGACUGGGCCAAAACACAGCUCCAGCUGCAAAAUCAUAGAAUCGUUUAAAUUGGAAAAGGCCUUUAAGACAAACAAGUCCAACUGUUAAUCCAGCACUGCGAAGUCCAGGACUAAAACAGUAAAGAAUGUGGGACAUACAAAGCUUGCAGAAGGCUGUCUUGUGCCACAGAUGGCAUUUCAGCUUCCUGUGGGAGGAAAAAAGCACUUCCAUGCAACCCAGUCCGUUAGGUUUUAUGGCUAAAAUCUUCCAACAAAACACUCUUUUUCCAAUCUGAUUGUUUUUAAUGGUGGUGUACAAAAAAAAUAAUUUGUUAAAUAACAUUUUUAAUCCUUUAUUUGCUUCUAGACAUGACCUGUAGAGAUUAAUUGUAGGUCUACAGGAAAAUAGUUACAGUAAAUGGCUAUUUAAAAAGAACUUUCCUGGAAAGAUUAUGUAUGUAUUGCAGCAAAUAUUUUACAGUACAAUAUAAGAAUGCAUUAUAUAGAAGAAAUAGAUACACAGUAAAAUUUUGUAAAACUUAAUUGGAAUCAUAUUAUUCUUAAGAAAAAGUACUGAGUGGCCCAAGCUUACUCAAAUGUCAUGUAUGAAAUGUGUGAAAAGGACCAAUGGCUUUAGUGUUAUAGGCAUGUUUAGCAUGAAUAAAGUAAUUCUGCCUCAAACAUAUCUUUUCUAUAAACUAAUCAUUAGUGUAAAACUACAUGAAUGUUAAUCAGGAAAGUAGGUAGCCAUUUCUCUCUGGACAGACUAGAUGUAAUCUAUAAUUUAGUUUUGUUCCCUAUGUUUUUUUGAAGUGAUCCACACCUGUAGGCUGUGCUCUGUUCUUGCUAUUAGAUGUCAAAGUGCAUCUAUACUUCCUGCCUACUGUCAUGUCCUUAAAGUCUUCUCUUCAUGUCUUCUCAGCCUUAAUUAAGGUUAAAAGCUGUACAACAUUGCUUAUAAGCAUUCUAAUGCUUAAUUUAAAUUCUACAGAAUCUCUUAAUAUUACUGUAUCUGACUUUCUUCUUGUGUAAUCACUUUCUACUUGUUUUUAAGGUUAGUUGUCAUUUUUAUGUCCCAUGUCCCAUGAAGAUUCAGCUUAGUGAGAUUCACUCUACUGGACAUGAUGUUGCAACAAGACACUCUGAGCUUUGGCUUCCACUGUUCUUGAAGUGGUCUGUGAAGGCAAAGGUGAUGACUGAAGGGACUAAGUUUUGCAAGUGACUUGUGGCUAUUUGGUGUAAAAGCCUACUCAGCAUAUCUUCCAAAGGAACAUGUUCCUUGUUUGAGGAUUACUGCUGUAAACUGAAGUCCUACAGGAGCUGCACAGGGAUGUGAUAUUUUUGUAUGACUGGCCACACAUACACUAUAAGAAAUGGUAAAGCUCACUCUUGUGGUAUAUUAAGAGAAGUGCAGGAGCAACAGCUUUUAUUCUUCAGUGAUUUUUGUUUGCAUGUAAGUAUGUGACCCCUCCCCUUCCUGCUUUCUGUAGGCAUAGCUGUGAUAUUUUCAUUCUUCUUGUCU